rnacentral:rRNA from 1 species
UACGAAGGGGGCUAGCGUUGUUCGGAUUUACUGGGCGUAAAGCGCGUGUAGGCGGACUUGUAAGUUGGGGGUGAAAUCCCGAGGCUCAACCUCGGAACUGCCUCCAAAACUACAAGUCUGGAGCAAGAUAGAGGCAAGUGGAAUUGCGAGUGUAGAGGUGAAAUUCGUAGAUAUUCGCAGGAACACCAGUGGCGAAGGCGACUUGCUGGAUCUUUGCUGACGCUGAGACGCGAAAGCGUGGGUAGCAAACAGG